rnacentral:rRNA from 1 species
UACAGAGGGUGCAAGCGUUGCUCGGAAUUAUUGGGCGUAAAGGGCAGGUAGGUGGUCUUGUUUGUCUGAGGUGAAAUCCCAGGGCUUAACCCUGGAAGUGCCUUAGAAACGGCAAGACUAGAGUCUUAGAGAGGGUCGUGGAAUUCCCGGUGUAGCGGUGAAAUGCGUUGAUAUCGAUAGGAACUCCGGUGGCGAAGGCGGCGAUACUGGACCACAUCUGACGCUGAGGCGCGAAAGCCAGGGGAGCAAACGGG